AGUCUUUAUACUGACCAUCCACUUUCGGAAACUAGUGUAUGUGGUGUCAAAAAAGGCACAAAUUAAACACUCUCGCGGCCACACUCUGCUUUUGAAUUUGGUGUCUUUGGCAUAAGAGCUGCAUAAGGAACGGUU
ensembl:snoRNA